rnacentral:rRNA from 1 species
ACGAACGCUGGCGGCGUGCUUAACACAUGCAAGUCGAACGGAAAGGCCUGUCCUUCCUUGUGUUGGACGGGUACUCGAGUGGCGAACGGGUGAGUAACACGUGAGUGAUCUGCCCCCAACUUGGGUAUAAGCCUGGGAAACUGGGUCUAAUUCCCGAUAGGACUGCAGGGUGGUGCCUGUGGUGGAAAACGAUUUUCUAGUGGUUGGGGAUGAGCUCGCGGCCUAUCAGCUUGUUGGUGGGGUAAUGGCCUACCAAGGCGGCGACGGGUAGCCGGCCUGAGAGGGUGGACGGCCACAUUGGGACUGAGAUACGGCCCAGACUCCUACGGGAGGCAGCAGUGGGGAAUAGUGCACAAUGGGCGGAAGCCUGAUGCAGCGACGCCGCGUGGGGGAUGACGGCCUUCGGGUGGUAAACUCCUUUCGACCGCGAGGAAGCCGCCUGGUUGGAAGGGUGGUGACGGUAGUGGUAGAAGAAGCACCGGCUAACUACGUG